rnacentral:lncRNA from 1 species
CACACUUCACCGUGGUAUCAGAGCAGGCAGAGGUCCUGGGUUCGAGUCUCACCGCUACCCAAUAACCAAAAAAGAAUUUCCACGUGUUUGGCUCAUCAAAAAGAAUCAAGCCCGCACGUGAGCGGGCGUGUUAAAGACAUAAUUAAGUAAAUAAAGUAUGCUCUCUCUCUAACAACUUAACCUUUUAGAUGAGAUGGUCACACACUUGCAAAACUUCAUUCACACAAUUGUCCAGAGUCCACACUUUCUAGAAACUUAAAGACCAUAAACUAAGAAGUUUAUAUUUGCUCAGAGUGCUCAAAGAACGGGCAGGUCGUUCCCAAUCUAUCCAGUUAUUAAUGUUCACACCAUGUAAUAAGUCUUUAAUUGUAUACUUGUCAUGGCUAUGGUCCAGCGCUUUCAAUACUAUGACAAGCCAUGAAUCUGGACAACUCUUUUCCUUCAACGAGGGAGUGAUGAAACCAAAAUAAAAGAUAUUGACAUCGUUUACAUAUUUCUAUUUGACAUGAGGUCUUCCAAUAGUAAGGUAUCCUUUAAAAUCCUGCAAGCCCUCAAACCAUUAACAGACUUGAAGUACUGAAGGUUACGUCUGAUAAAAAUAAAAGCAAGCAGGUGCCAUUCAGCUAGAGGACAUAUGAGUAAACUGAAGUGAAUAGGCUUGAGACUGUAUCUAUGGUUAUCUACAAACUCCUUAUAAAUAAAAUGCAAUUAAAUGCAGUUUGACAAGAAUUAAACUAAUUUUAUAUGGUUCCUUAACAUGGUGUGAAACUGCAAAUACCAAAACAGUUGACACAUCCUAAAUGUUGAUGCAUGUUUUACGGAGAGAUAUUUCCCCUUGUUUUACCCAAAAAUUUCCUUUGCUCCUCGCUUUAGAUACUUUUAGAUCAUAGCACUUUUCAUUCUUGUGUCAUAUAUUCUAUAGCUUUUUUACAGGUAAUCUUAAUUGUCAAUGAUCAUCGUGCUUUAGUUUCUGAGAUAAGUUUCUGACCUGUAUGAACAUAUUCAUAUUUUUUACCAAGUUUCAACACUAAGGAAUUGUAAACUCAUACAGAAACCCCCCUUUGGAGAACAGGACCACCUGAAAGACCAGUGCUCUGCAAUGCAUGUGGAUCAAGAUGGCGAAUUAGGGGGACUCUAGAUGAUUAUUUUCCCAAACUUGCAUACAGAGAAACUCAAAGCUAUCAAUUACCUUCUGAGAUGAAGCCGCAUGUCUUAGCUCGUGAAGACCAAAAGCUAGAAGUUGAACCAGAGGUUGCUGGAAAGGAUGGCUCUUCAGCUUGUCUUGAAGAGGAAAUGAAUAACAUAUCAAGCUU